rnacentral:lncRNA from 1 species
UUGUACGUCAUAUAGACUCUUACAACAUUGACACUGAUCAGUGGACACGCUGUAAUUUCAACUUGUUAACUGGCCAGAAUGAAUCUGGAGUUGCUGUCCAUAAUGGGAGAAUAUAUUUAGUUGGUGGAUAUUCAAUUUGGACAAAUGAGCCUCUGGCUUGUAUCCAGGUCUUGGAUGUAAGCAGAGAAGGCAAAGAGGAGGUGUUCUACGGACCUACACUUCCCUUUGCCUCGAACGGAAUAGCAGCGUGUUUCCUUCCCGCUCCGUAUUUCACGUGCCCUAACCUUCAGACCCUGCAAGUGCCUCACCACAGGAUCGGCACGGUCUGAGAAGCCAGCGCUCCGUUAGAGCGCGUCACCAGGAGACCGAGUGAGACCCUGACAUUUGGAUGCAGGGCGUGAACAUCCUCAGUGCUCGAUGCUUCCCUGUCUUGUCUUACAGGUCUAAAAUUGUGCUAAGUACUAGCAAAAAAAAAAAAAAAAAAAAAAAGAAUAAUUUUCUAAACCCU